rnacentral:lncRNA from 1 species
ACACCACCACGCCGUACGCUGCGUUAGCGGAAGUUUAAUGGCCCCAUUGGUGGGAUGCGUGGCCAAUAAAGGGCAAGAAUAAGGCGGAUUCCGCCUUCCUCGUGGCUGACUGGAUGCAUCCGCUGGUACUGAUUUACGUGAGUUUCAGCAUUUAGACGUUCCGAGUUUCCACCGAGCCAGAGUUGGGUAGAGAGUUAUUAAGAUGACUAGGAGACUAAUGCGGGGAGAAAUAAUUUAGUAGUUAGACUCAGGCCCUGAAACUACCACUCGUGUUCAGAAAGUCUACGUAAUACCUUAUUGUUUUCACGCGAAGAAACCAGCCCUUCAGGCCGGGCUGAAUGUGGUUUAGGGAUUCUCUGGCUGUCAUUGGGUGAAAAAGCGAUCAGUUUGAAGGUAGCUCCGCCUGGGCUCUAGGGAACUCUGGGAUUUGUAGUCCGGAACUUUCGAGUCCUGUAGCUUUAAAUGUGGUUGUUGCUACUGAGUUCUUUCAUGUUGUUAAUAACACCCAUUGACAUUUAUUGUGGUUUGUUGGACUUUUUAUCCUUUCGUUUAUCAGCAGCAUUAAAGACAACAUUUAAGAAAUGUGUAAACACUGCAUGUAUGUUCGUAAACAAUAAAUGUUAGUGUUUCCAACAAUUUACUGCUGUGCCUAGCUGUAUACUAUAUGUUCAUGCUUACUGUACUAAGUAGAUACUAAAAUUAUUUGUUUCUAAAACUUUUGCUGUUACAACAAAACAGUCUGAUUUUCAUAUUAGUGUCCAUUUACGAUUAUUUGAACCCUACAUUUAGCAAUUAUGUGUACUGUGAUGGCAUAGGUAGCAGCUGCUUACAUGAAUCAAGUGUUGUUAUGACAUGAAGCAGAACUGGCUGCUAUCUUCACAGGAAAAUAGGGCUAUGCUUAAAAUGUCAAGCAAGACCACCAUCAGGAGGAAUACACAUUGUAUAUUAUUAAAGACUGUAUUAUAGUGUCUAUUUUCAGCCUUUAUUAAAACAGUUUUAGGACAGGCUUUUCCUGAGUCUAUAGAAUCCUGAACUCUUCUGUGAGCUAAUUUAGCGGUAUUUCAUUUUUGUGUCUAGCAAAAGUAAAACCAUUAAUAAAUACCAAAAACUUGCUGAGUAGACUUUUCGCUUUCGAAAAAUUUUAAUAUUUUUUUCCUAUUUUACAUGUAAUACAAACUUUCGACUGUAGAAGAAAAAAACAUGAUUUCGGAUGUAUGUAAUACUUCUACACUUCUAGAUUAAAAUUAAGUACACUUUACAGAAUUAAAGCUAAGCAAAAACUGCGUUCAUUACUGAUGCUUGUAAUUAUUGCAUUUUUGUUUAAAAUAUCGA